UAGGGAAUCUUCCACAAUGGGCGCAAGCCUGAUGGAGCAACGCCGCGUGUGUGAUGAAGGGUUUCGGCUCGUAAAACACUGUUAUAAGAGAAGAACGGCACUGAGAGUAACUGUUCAGUGUGUGACGGUAUCUUACCAGAAAGGAACGGCUAAAUACGUGCCAGCAGCCGCGGUAAUACGUAUGUUCCAAGCGUUAUCCGGAUUUAUUGGGCGUAAAGCGAGCGCAGACGGUUAUUUAAGUCUGAAGUGAAAGCCCUCAGCUCAACUGAGGAAUGGCUUUGGAAACUGGAUGACUUGAGUGCAGUAGAGGAAAGUGGAACUCCAUGUGUAGCGGUGAAAUGCGUAGAUAUAUGGAAGAACACCAGUGGCGAAGGCGGCUUUCUGGACUGUAACUGACGUUGAGGCUCGAAAGUGUGGGUAGCAAACAGG
rnacentral:rRNA from 1 species